AUGAUGUUAUGGUUUUACAAAUUAAGCACCAAAACAUCAUGUUAUACAACAAAUUUGACAGAAAAAGUAGUUCAAUACGCAGUAAUGCUAUGUAGUAAUUACUGUAUUUGGUUGUUUGUGUAUUGUGAAAGUGGUGAGGGUAGAGGGGGUUUAUGUCCCUGUGUAGUAUUGCAUAGUAUUUAUACGUUGUCCAUGUGUUGUGAAUGCUUGGAUUAUGUCUUGCUGCAUAGUAGAAAGGGUUGGGCUGGAUGGUCCUUAGGGGUAUGCUUCUAUUAUUAUUAUCAUCAUCAUCAUCAUCAUCAUCAUCAUCAUCAUCAUCUUCACCAUCAUUAUUAUGUAGAGACUGGAUGGCCAUCUGUCAGGAGUGCUUGGAUUGUGUCGUCCAAUGGCAGAGUUGGGUUGGACUGGAUGGCCCUUAGGGGUCUCUCCUAACUGUCUGAUUCUAUGAUUCAAUGUGUAUUAUUAUUGUGCAGAUAUUGGAUGGCUAUCUGUCAGGAGUGGUUGGAUUGUGUCCUCCUGCAUGAUAUAAGGAAGUUGAACUGGAUGAUCCUUAGGGGUAUCUGCUAACCUUAGGAUUGUAUGAUUAUUAUUAUUAUUAUUAUUAUUAUUAUUAUUAUUAUUAUUAUUAUUAUUAUUAUUAAGAGGCUGGCUGGCCAUCUGUUGAGAGUGCUUGGAUUGUAUCGUCCAAUGGCAGAGUUGGAUUGGACUGGAUGGUCUUUUAGGGGUCUCUCCUAACUGUCUGAUUCUAUGAUUCGAUUUGUAUUAUUAUUGUACAGAUCUUGGAUGGCCAUCUGUCAGGAGUGCUUGGUUUGUGUCGUCUUGCAUGGUAGAAGGAAGGUGAACUGGAUGAUCCUUAGGGGUAUCUCCUAACCUUAUGAUUGUAUGAUAUUCUUCUUCUUCUUCUUCUUCUUCUUCUUCUUCUUCUUCUUCUUCUUCUUCUUCUUCUUCUUCUUCUUCUUCUUACUACUACUACUAUUGAGAGGCUGCCCAAAGCAAUUAGAUACAUUAAAUGUUUCCUUAACCAUCAGCCUUGGCCUGACUAUUGUAAACAUCAGUGGUACAUUGCUGCCUCAUAUAUCCAGAAGGUAUCUGGGGUCCUUACAGUAAGAC
rnacentral:lncRNA from 1 species